UACGAAGGGGGCUAGCGUUGCUCGGAAUUACUGGGCGUAAAGCGCACGUAGGCGGCUUUCUAAGUCGGGGGUGAAAUCCUGGAGCUCAACUCCAGAACUGCCUUCGAUACUGGAGAGCUCGAGUCCGGGAGAGGUGAGUGGAACUGCGAGUGUAGAGGUGAAAUUCGUAGAUAUCGGGAGGAACACCGGUGGCGAAGGCGGCGACCCGGUUCGAUACUGACACUGAGGUGCGAAAGCGUGGGGAGCAAACAGG
rnacentral:rRNA from 1 species